rnacentral:misc_RNA from 1 species
AUGGUUUCCCUCCUUCAGGAUCUAGUUUGGCUGCAAGUCUGCAAGGAGAAGAGAAGUCUAAGCCAUCUGAUGAGCAGCACCAUUUGGUUGAUUCUGCCCAUGACAACUUAACAAGAGUUGCUCCUGUUGGUGAGACUUGUGAGCAUUUGAGUGAAUCUUACAUGGAGGUGGCAAUUGUGAAUGAAAAUGGCACGGAACCUGCAGGUUCCCAAAAUAGUUCUAGCUUGCACCAUGAAGAGUUAUCGCAGGAUUUGCCCCCACCAAAUUUGAAGCGUAAUGCCGUCAAGAGCAAUGAUGUUGCGGUCAUUGAGAAGCGUACAAGGAAACGGAUAUAUAGAUCACGGGUUUAAUAAUCUUUUUUAUUGCAUCUGUAUUUUACUGUAAAAUGGACUGUAAACUAGUGUAGAAGAAAAGAUGGCACCACGACAGGCAUUUGUAAACUGUAGGGACAUGGAUAAUUGUUAGUUUAGUAUUUAACCGAGCAGGUUUUUGGCCAUUGAAUUUGGUGGUGCCAAAACCGGCGUCUGUAAAUGCUAAACAAUUAUCCAUCUCAUUA